rnacentral:misc_RNA from 1 species
AAGGUCAUUAACCAAAGGUAAUGCCCGGUGGGUACAAUCCUGCAAGGUGCCCAAAUUGGCACCAACAGGGUUUCAAGGCCCCUAAACGGGGUAUCUCCCCACCCUGUUUUAUUACUUUGUUGCUUUGGCGGGCCGUCAGGCUCACGCCCGGCUACCGGCUCACGCUGGUAAGCGCCCGCCAGAGAACCCCAAACCCUGAAUGUUAGUGUCGUCUGAGUACUAUAUAAUAGUUAAAA